AGUUAAAUAAUCUGCUCCUUGAGGGAAUUAUAAAUGAGGCACUGAAGGCAAUGGGCGAUUUGCAAGGGAAGUUGAUGAAAAUAUUGGAUAAAGAAAAUGCUCCUAUGACAGCAAUAAUGCUGGUUUGUAACUACUGAUUAAAAAUUUAUUCAAUCUUCUAUUUUUAUAUGUGUCGUUAGUCUGAAAAAUCUUCUUCAUCAUAUUAAUGUAUUCUAAAAAGAACUGCUGUAGAUGGCUGGCAGUAGGUACAGGGUCAGGUCGAAGGGAAAAGUUCCAGAGGACGAUCUCCUACGCGAUGGUCCGACCCCUUAAAAAUAGCGACGAAGUCAUCCGUAGUCGAGUGCACUCGCAACGUUAUCGAUCAAUGUCAGAAAUGGAGAGACACCGCAAGGGAAAGUUUGAAGUCCAACAACAAAACAGGAAAUGAAGACCAGCCAUGUGCGUCGUCAAAACGACCGACAAGAGUAAACGACUUCUGAAGAAGAAAAUCAAAAACGAAUUUUGAGAAUUAAAGAUAAAAUAUUCAAACGUAUUAAAUUUAUAAGUAGCAAUGUAUCUACUUACACAACAUUUCAAAGGUAAGUACUACUUACAACUUUUACGUAAGAACAUGUAUAAAAUAGAUUCUAAUUCAUUUAUUUUUGUUAUCAUUAGGUCUCGCAACUUGUACCACAGGAAUUAAGUGACGCAAUCAAGGCGGAAGUCAGAAAAAAAGUUGUUGAUGGUGACAAGACAACAUUAAACGAAGAUACUGGUUUAAGAGCAAAUACAAAGAGGAAAGGUUAUGGAAAUAGAAAGAGGUCCAAAAAGGUGCUGUGCAUCCACGCCCCCGACAAUCUACAGUACUGCGUUAGUCAGUUAAAGGAACCAUGAGUAUUGAGUAAUGCCUGAUGACAUCAUCUGCAUUUGGUCAUGCAUCUAAUUUUUAAACAACUUAAUAAAAUUGUGUGUGUCCA